UGUAGCUUUUGAUCCUCCUGCCUCAAAUGGCCCUUCAAGGUCUACAGAUUUGUUCCCCAGAGUGAUAAUUUCAAAAGGCAGUGGGACCCCCAGGGCCUCCCCUUCCUCUUCAGAAGAAGAGUCUCCAGGGGAGCAGCUCUUCCCUCCUGGAAGUGCUCCCUGCUAUGAUCUGCAGCAAUACCAGAUGAGAAAAGAGAAGGAAAGCAGACCUCAGACGCUGAAACAGUCAAUGACUAGAAUUCCAGAACCGCAGAGCUGAGAGGCCUCUGAAAGC